GAGGAAUAUUGGUCAAUGGGCGAGAGCCUGAACCAGCCAAGUAGCGUGCAGGAAGACGGCCCUAUGGGUUGUAAACUGCUUUUGUAUGGGGAUAAAGUCAAUCACGUGUGAUUGUUUGCAGGUACCAUACGAAUAAGGACCGGCUAAUUCCGUGCCAGCAGCCGCGGUAAUACGGAAGGUCCGGGCGUUAUCCGGAUUUAUUGGGUUUAAAGGGAGCGUAGGCUGGAGAUUAAGUGUGUUGUGAAAUGUAGACGCUCAACGUCUGACUUGCAGCGCAUACUGGUUUCCUUGAGUACGCACAACGUUGGCGGAAUUCGUCGUGUAGCGGUGAAAUGCUUAGAUAUGACGAAGAACUCCGAUUGCGAAGGCAGCUGACGGGAGCGCAACUGACGCUGAAGCUCGAAGGUGCGGGUAUCGAACAGGAUUAGAUACCCUGGUAGUCCGCACAGUAAACGAUGGAUGCCCGCUGUUGGUACCUGGUAUCAGCGGCUAAGCGAAAGCAUUAAGCAUCCCACCUGGGGAGUACGCCGGCAACGGUG
rnacentral:rRNA from 1 species